rnacentral:lncRNA from 13 species
AGGGAUUGUUCCCAGUCCCUGACCAUGAGGGAUUGUUUCACUCUUUUCCCACGUAGUGCACUGGUCUGUGGACCAGACACUUAAAUAUGGAAUUGGUUCCAUUUGGGACGCAGACUUAAUCUGUGGACCAGAACCUUAAGUAUGGAAUAGGGUCCAUUAAUCCCUGUGUGGUGGGAAACAACCGUCUUUAUCUCAGACAUGACGAUUGGCCACUUUUAUUUGGUCUGGUCCGCUAGCUAUUGACUGAAUUAUCCAGAGGUUUCUGACCCCUGGCUUUUGACCUUUAGGGCGGAAAGGGAACCCCAGGACCUAAAGGAGACGACGGAGAGCCUGGGCGGAAAGGGAACCCCAGGACCUAAAGGAGACGACGGAGAGCCUGGAGACGCUGGCCUGGACGUGAGUCACACCAUCUCUCUCUCUCUCUCUCUCUCUCUCUCUCUCUCUCUCUCUCUCUCUCUCUCUCUCUCUCUCAUAUAUAUAUAUGGUUUUUGAGAUCAAAGCGAGCCUAGCCACAUGGGCACAUUUGUGAUUUGUUCUUAAAGGGCUUCCUGAGUGGCGCAGCGGUCUAAGGUACUGCAUCGAGGUGUCACUACAGACCCAGGUUCGAUCCCUGGCUGUGUCACAACCGACCGUGACCGGGGGUCCCAUAGGGUGGCGCACAACUGGCCCAUCGUUGUCUGGGUUUGGCUGGGGGGGCUUUGUUUGGCUCAUCGCGCUCUAGUGACUCCUUGUGGCGGGCUGGGGGCCUGCAGGCUGACCUCGGUCCUCAGUUGAACGGUGUUUACUCUGACACAUUGGUGCAGCUGGCUUCUGGGUUAAGGGGGCGGGUGUUAAGAAGUGUGGUUUGGCAGGUCAUGUUCCGUAGGGUCACUGCAGUUUAAAAGCAAGCAGUAACACAAUAUACAGGGGUACCAGGUUAGUAAUGAGGCUAUAUACAGGGGUACCAGGUAGUAAUGAGGCUAUAUACAGGGGUACCAGGUUAAUAAUGAGGCUAUAUACAGGGGUACCAGGUUAGUAAUGAGGCUAUAUACAGGAGUACAGGUUAGUAAUGAGGCUAUAUACAGGGGUAUCAGGUUAGUAAUGAGGCUAUAUACAGGGGUACAGGUUAGUAAUGAGGCUAUAUACAGGGGUACC